UACGUAGGUGGCGAGCGUUGUCCGGAUUUACUGGGCGUAAAGGGCGUGCAGGCGGUUUGUUAAGUGCAGGGUGAAAGCUCCCGGCUCAACUGGGAGAGGUCCUUGCAUACUGGCGAACUCGAGGGAGGCAGAGGAAAGUGGAAUUCCCGGUGUAGUGGUGAUAUGCGCAGAUAUCAGGAGGAACACCGGUGGCGAAGGCGGGUCUCUGGGCCGAUACUGACGCUGAGGAGCGAAAGCGUGGGGAGCGAACAGG
rnacentral:rRNA from 1 species